UUGGAGGGCAGUCUGGUGCCAGCAGCCGCGGUAAUUCCAGCUCCAAUAGCGUAUAUUAAAGUUGUUGCAGUUAAAAAGCUCGUAGUUGAAUUUCGGAGUUUGUCGGUUGGUCGGGCUUCAUUGUCCGCACUGGCCUGAUGGAUUCCUACCUUCUGAAUAACCAGCAUGCUAUUAAGUUAGUGCGUUGGGGAAGCAGAGCUAUUACCUUGAAAAAAUUAGAGUGCUUAAAGCAGGCUUAUGCUUGAAUAGAUUAGCAUGGAAUAAUAAAAUAGGACGGCAUGGUUCUAUUUUGUUGGUUUCUAGGAUCACCGUAAUGAUUAAUAGGGAUAGUUGGGGGCAUUAGUAUUCAAUUGUCAGAGGUGAAAUUCUUGGAUUUAUUGAAGACUAACUUCUGCGAAAGCAUUUGCCAAGGAUGUUUUCAUUAAUCAAGAACGAAAGUUAGGGGAUCGAAGACGAUCAGAUACCGUCGUAGUCUUAACCAUAAACUAUGCCGACUAGGGAUCGGACGAUGUUAAUUUUUUAAUGACUCGUUCGGCGCCUUACGGGAAAC
rnacentral:rRNA from 1 species